rnacentral:rRNA from 1 species
UACGGAGGGUGCAAGCGUUAUCCGGAUUCACUGGGUUUAAAGGGUGCGUAGGAGGGCAGGUAAGUCAGUGGUGAAAUCCUGGGGCUUAACCCCAGACUGCCGUUGAUACUAUCGGUCUUGAAUGUCGUGGAGGUGAGCGGAAUAUGUCAUGUAGCGGUGAAAUGCUUAGAUAUGACUAGAACACCAAUUUGCGAAAGGCAGCUCACUACACGGUCAUUGCACUGAGG